AGAGCGGCAGUUUGUGCUCACAGAUGGUGACGGUGUGGAGAGACGGUGGUGUUUCCUCAGAAGAACUAGCAGAGUCACAAAGAGCACCAGUCCAUCUCACCACCUUGACUUGCUGACUGAUGCUCGUCUGCACUGCACAGAGGAAAUCAACUGACCGAGGAGUGUUUCUGAGUGAGGGAGAGAGGAGUCAUCAUCCAGAUGGGCAGGAUAUCAGUCUUGGACUGUCUAACCUGCCGGAGCAGCACUGAAUGACCACCACACAUGAGCAUGUUCCUGC